GACGAACGCUGGCGGCGUGCUUAACACAUGCAAGUCGAACGGAAAGGCCCUGCUUUUGUGGGGUGCUCGAGUGGCGAACGGGUGAGUAACACGUGAGUAACCUGCCCUUGACUUUGGGAUAACUUCAGGAAACUGGGGCUAAUACCGGAUAGGAGCUCCUGCUGCAUGGUGGGGGUUGGAAAGUUUCGGCGGUUGGGGAUGGACUCGCGGCUUAUCAGCUUGUUGGUGGGGUAGUGGCUUACCAAGCCUUUGACGGGUAGCCGGCCUGAGAGGGUGACCGGCCACAUUGGGACUGAGAUACGGACCAGACUCCUACGGGAGGCAGAAGUGGGGAAUAUGGCGCAAUGGGCGGAAGCCUGAUGCAGCAACGCCGCGUGCGGGAUGACGGCCUUCGGGUUGUAAACCGCUUUCGCCUGUGACGAAGCGUGAGUGACGGUAAUGGGUAAAGAAGCACCGGCUAACUACGUG
rnacentral:rRNA from 1 species